AGUGAACGCUGGCGGUAGGCCUAACACAUGCAAGUCGAACGGCAGCACAGUAAGAGCUUGCUCUUACGGGUGGCGAGUGGCGGACGGGUGAGGAAUACAUCGGAAUCUACUUUUUCGUGGGGGAUAACGUAGGGAAACUUACGCUAAUACCGCAUACGACCUACGGGUGAAAGCAGGGGAUCUUCGGACCUUGUGCGAUUGAAUGAGCCGAUGUCGGAUUAGCUAGUUGGCGGGGUAAAGGCCCACCAAGGCGACGAUCCGUAGCUGGUCUGAGAGGAUGAUCAGCCACACUGGAACUGGGACACGGUCCAGACUCCUACGGGAGGCAGCAGUGGGGAAUAUUGGACAAUGGGCGCAAGCCUGAUCCAGCCAUACCGCGUGGGUGAAGAAGGCCUUCGGGUUGUAAAGCCCUUUUGUUGGGAAAGAAAAGCAGCAGGUUAAUACCCCGCUGUUCUGACGGUACCCAAAGAAUAAGCACCGGCUAACUUCGUG
rnacentral:rRNA from 1 species